rnacentral:rRNA from 1 species
AGAACAUGCAAGUCGUACGAGAGAAAGCAGCAAUGUUGAUCAACUUAGUGGCGCAAGGGUGAGUAAUAUGUGGACGAUCUUCCAAAAAGUGUGGGAUAGCUCGCCGAAAGGUGAAAUAAUACCGCAUAAUGCCUUCAGAGGAUUUCUGAAAUUGGAAAGCUAGCUUGCUAGCGCUUUUUGAUGAGUCCGCACCCUAUCAGCUAGUUGGCGGGAUAAUAGCCCACCAAGGCGAUGACGGGUAGCUGGUCUGAGAGGACGACCAGCCACACUGGAACUGAGACACGGUCCAGACACCUACGGGUGGCAGCAGUCGAGAAUUUUUCUCAAUGGGCGAAAGCCUGAAGGAGCGACGCCGCGUGGAGGAUGAAGGUCUUCGGAUUGUAAACUCCUGUCAUUAGUGAACAAAGCCGAACUCGUUU